GACAAGAAAAACAUAAGAAUCAACUGCUCCUAAGUUCUCACUGCUGGCAGCAAUAAAGGUGACAGAUGACCUCCUUACCCAUUGGCUAGGGUAGCACAACAAAUGGAAAGAACGGUCUAUCAUUUCAAGUAGGAACCGCUUGCGCAGAAAGCCACUUUUGCAGAGAAUGGCCAAGCAAUCUAGAGCAUUGACGAUUACAGCCUCAGUUGUAUCAGUCAGUGCCUGCUCAAUGUAUGGGAAAAGAUAUUCUUCAACACUUCUUUGUCCAACAAAAAAACAGACGUAUAUGAUUUGCCCAUAAAAUACUGCCCUGAGCUGCUCAUCUCUAUCAUUUAGAAAAGCAGGGAGAAUGGGCAACAGGAAAUCAUUACUUUGUCUCUGCCCAAAAAACCAACAAAGGUUACCAAUGUCUUGCAAUAGUGCUCUCCUGAUGUUUGGAGUUUGCUUUGGGCCCAUCACGAGUUCUUGAAUAACCUCAGCAACUGACUUCCUUAAUUGACCAAGUUGUGUAUCACUGUUUAGACUCUGUGGUCGUACUGGUUCCCCUGAGGUCGAU
rnacentral:misc_RNA from 1 species